rnacentral:rRNA from 1 species
GUGGGGAAUAUUGGGCAAUGGGGGGAACCCUGACCCAGCGACGCCGCGUGGGUGAAGAAAUCCUUCGGGAUGUAAAGCCCUGUUGUAUGGGAAGAGCGGAAGACGGUACCAUACGAGGAAGCCCCGGCAAACUACGUGCCAGCAGCCGCGGUAAUACGUAGGGGGCAAGCGUUGUCCGGAAUUACUGGGCGUAAAGCGCACGCAGGCGGAAUUAUAAGUCGGUAGUCAAAGGCGGAGGCUCAAGCUCUGGAUAUCUAUCGAUACUGUAAAUCUUGCAGAUGUUGGAGGGAAGCGGUAUUCCCGGUGUAGCGGUGAAAUGCGUAUAUAUCGGGAGGAACACCAGUGGCGAAGGCGGCUUCCUCGCACAAUACUGACGCUCAUGUGCGAAAGCUAGGGCAGCGAACGGAAUUAGAAACCCUGGUAGUCC